rnacentral:rRNA from 1 species
UACGGGGGGGGCAAGCGUUGUUCGGAAUUACUGGGCGUAAAGGGCUCGUAGGCGGCCAACUAAGUCCGACGUGAAAUCCCCAGGCUCAACUUGGGAACUGCGUCGGAUACUGGAUGGCUUGAAUUCGGGAGAGGGAUGCAGAAUUCCAGGUGUAGCGGUGAAAUGCGUAGAUAUCUGGAGGAAUACCGGUGGCGAGGGCGGCAUCCUGGACCGACAUUGACGCUGAGGAGCGAAAGCUAGGGGAGCAAACGGG